ACCAGUAAUUCAACUUAACAUGAGGGACAUGAUCAUUAAAUCCAAAAUGUGGAAAGACCAACGAGCUUUUAACGAUGACGAGGGCUGGGAAGAAGGGCUGGCUGGUUAUUCAUCUUCAUAAGACGGCCAAGAGUUUGACGACCACAGUGCAGGAGAGGACUUUGAUGAUCAAUUCAAGCUUAAAUUUCAUAGGAAAUCAGCGACAAUCAAUGGUCCUGCAAAUCUGAAACCUGCAGCAAACACAAACAGCAACUUGAACCAUAAAGCUCCAGUAUUUUUUCCACGAAAUUCUACAGAAUCAGGAGAAACAUCAGUUGAUGUUCACAAUGCAACAUCACUGCCAACAUCUACCAAGAAUCAGAUUGUACCAAUAAAAUCAUUCACAACUUUGAAGGAGACGAAAAUGUCGGAUACAAUGAAGCAACCUUCCCAUAAACUACUGGAUGAGAGGGCAAAAAGACAUAUAUAUUAAGAAGGGGAGGAAGAGGAUAUAUUAAAGCAAUGUCGGGCAGAUGCGUCAAGAAAAGGUGAUAUGUCGCCAAUGCAUAGUAAAACAAGUAAGAAGUCUCGUGAAUGGGAUAGAAGUUGGGACGGCAGGAUGUUUGAAGACUUAAACAUAAGGAGACCUCCCAUGAGAAAUGCAAAACAAAAACAGGUCACUCAAACAAUUAUUACAAAGGCCAAUCGAUCGAGGAAAUAAGUAUGAAUUUUGAAGUCAUAUUGAGAAAAAUUGUAGACGAAGUCAUUAAUCUACAAAUUAAAUUUUUCACAAAAUUGGAGAAAAGAUAGCACCAAGAUGGUUUCUUCAACUUUUUAUUUUUCCAUCUCAUUAGUAUUUUUCAAUGUAAUAUCAUCACUGAGCAUGUUAUAAACUCGGGGAUGAUCAUACUGUUCUUAAUUCAUGCUACUUCUUUCUUUUUACAUGCUUGUUAGUUCAUGAUGCUUUUAUUGGCCUCAAUAGGAUUAAUAAGUUAAGGUUGACGCCGGUUGUGUUAUAUGGGUAACAAUACCGGUGCUAGUACCCCCUUAUUUUACUUUUCCUAUUUGUUGUAAUUUUCAUUUUCUAACAAUAUCGGUGCUAUCCCCCCCUUAUUUUAUUUUUCCUAUUUGUGGUAACUUUCUUUUUAAUUAUAUUAAUGAAAUCUAUCCCUAGGUGAUUGCCUAGUGGAUUGCUAAAAUAACCAACAUGGAAUACUGUGGAUGCAGUGGAGGAAAUCAACAGACUCAAAGUGGGCUGUAAUUUCAAGAUAUCUCACAUUUUCAGAGAGGGAAACAAACUAGUAGAACACCUUGCGAAUUUUGCACCUGACAGUGGCAACAUAGAGAGUUAUGAUUUUUGGGAUCUUGAUGAGUCGAGCAGAAGGUUGGUAAAUGUGGAUAAGCUACAAUGUCCAAACCUGAGAAAAAGAGUUGCAAGAAAUUAGAGAAGGAAAGGGAAGAAACAAAUGCAAUAAACAUUUACAAAAUGCAGUCACCAUGAUCGAACAGAGAAGAACAUGGAGAUAACAUUUUUCAUUAACAUGUGUUUCUUUUUGCAGGUACUAAAUUUAUACUGAUGUUCUUUUCUGUCAAGAAAUCUACAGCGGUAGUAUUAAUGCGAUGCAUUCAUUCAAAUGGAAGUAAGUGAUGUUCAUUUCUGUCAAGAAAUCGACAAUGGUAGUAUUAAUGCAAUGCAUUCAUUCCAAUGGAAGUAACUUACAGAGGGACAGUGGUACAAACCAUGGAAGCGUCAACAAACAAGAUAACGUGGUUACUUCAUCAAGAGUACUCAACAGAGAAGUUCAAAUCUGCAAACAAAAAUGUUGUGCAGAAUUUGUAAUGAUAUUACUCAAGAAACGGAAAGCUGGGAGUUCAAGUAAACAUGUGCAAGUUCAAGUGACUUGUAACGACUUGCUUAAGAUAAUUAACAUAACUCCAA
rnacentral:lncRNA from 1 species